AUUGAACGCUGGCGGCAUGCCUUACACAUGCAAGUCGAACGGCAGCACGGGUGCUUGCACCUGGUGGCGAGUGGCGAACGGGUGAGUAAUACAUCGGAACGUACCUUAUCGUGGGGGAUAACGCAGCGAAAGCUGUGCUAAUACCGCAUACGCCCUGCGGGGGAAAGCGGGGGAUCGCAAGACCUCGCGCGAUUAGAGCGGCCGAUGCCUGAUUAGCUAAUUGGUGGGGUAAAAGCCCACCAAGGCGACGAUCAGUAGCUGGUCUGAGAGGACGAUCGGCCACACUGGGACUGAGACACGGCCCAGACUCCUACGGGAGGCAGCAGUGGGGAAUUUUGGACAAUGGGGGCAACCCUGAUCCAGCAAUGCCGCGUGAGUGAAGAAGGCCCUCGGGUUGUAAAGCUCUUUUGUCAGGGAAGAAACACCGGCUCUAACACAGUCCGGGAAUGACGGUACCUGAAGAAUAAGCACCGGCUAACUACGUGCCAGCCGCCGCCGUAA
rnacentral:rRNA from 1 species